rnacentral:rRNA from 1 species
AACGAACGCUGGCGGCAUGCCUAACACAUGCAAGUCGAACGAGACCUUCGGGUCUAGUGGCGCACGAGUGCGUAACGCGUGGGAACCUGCCCUUAGGUUCGGAAUAACUCCCCGAAAGGGGUGCUAAUACCGGAUAAUGUCUUCGGACCAAAGAUUUAUCGCCUUUGGAUGGGCCCGCGUUGGAUUAGCUAGUUGGUAGGGUAAAAGCCUACCAAGGCGACGAUCCAUAGCUGGUCUGAGAGGAUGAUCAGCCACACUGGGACUGAGACACGGCCCAGACUCCUACGGGGGGCAGCAGUGGGGAAUAUUGGACAAUGGGCGAAAGCCUGAUCCAGCAAUGCCGCGUGAGUGAUGAAGGCCUUAGGGUUGUAAAGCUCUUUUAACCGGGAUGAUAAUGACAGUACCGGGAGAAUAAGCUCCGGCUAACUCCGUG